GCACAUACAUACAAAUACAUACAUAAAUAUUUCAACGAAGUAGUAAUUUUGCUUUCCGUUUGCUUAGGUAAAUAUUUAGAUGCGAAUAUAUAAUUUGCAGCUUGCUAUUAACCAUCCAAUCCAAAUCUGUCAUCAGGUCAUUUCAUUCAAGUUGACUUCAUCAAAGAGCAGCAAUGCCUCCCAACAUGCCACACGUCACUGCUACGAAGUACCCUGGCCACACCACGGAUAGCAAAUUUUUCCGCGAAUUGCUCUAAGAAGCUUCAAUAACGGAUGGAAACGGCCCCACCUUAAUUAAACCGUUUUUAAAUAAGGAUUAAAUUGAAGAUUUCCUCAUUGUUUUACAAUAGAAUUUAUGUUAACAUCGCAAGGUCAUAUUUACGAUGUGACAUAAUCUGAUUAAUGCGUAACAUUUAAUUCAUGUAAGUUUGUUUUCAAGAUAUGUGCACAAUUAAAUUAAAUGGACCAUCGACCCUACUUAUUACUCAAUAAUAGUGCCCAACGACCCUAUUCUCUCUGCCAACUUAGCAGUUAUUAAAAUAUUAAAAGUUGCAGGUGCAUUGAAAUAAAAUAAACAAAUAAAAACAUUUUCAAA